CGCGUCGAUGCACGAUACGUGGAAGGCGUGAUAGCAGAGAGGGAGUAGCCGGAGCUGGUUGUCGUGCUGGAACUUCGAGAGGCAGACGGCGCAGUCGGUGGCGACGACCGCAGUGGAGGAGUCUCGGCGGUGCUUGAUGGCGGAGAAGGCGAAGACCGGGAGCGAGGCGACGGGAUCGGCGGCCGUAGCGGAUUCGGCAGGAGAUACUCUAUCGGGGGCGUCGUCGCCGGAAGAGGGAGUUCGGGUCGGAUGUGAAGAGCGGGUCG
rnacentral:lncRNA from 1 species